UUAUGAUCAAUGCCUGUGGCUGAAAUGCCCAGUUCUUAGCAAGCAAAGCUUUGGAAGGUGCAUUUCAGGUAGCACUCACAGCAAUAUUUUAGAUGUUUCCAGCUUCUUUGUAGGAGAAGAAACUAUUACCAUAAUCUGAGCAAUGGAUUCAUCUGCAGGUGUAGAUGGAGCUUCAGUGGAGUCAUAAAACAAAAUUAUUCAGAUCUUUCUUCAACAAGGCAGUGAAACAUCAACCUGACUCUUCAGCAAGGAGUAAUUCCAGUAUAUAUCAAACUUCCUGAUUUCAAUGGGACACUCCACCAGCUUUAAGAUGCGUAGCAUGUCCUUAGCUAGUAGUAAAUCACUAUUAAAGAGAAGACAAUGAUGGAGAGUGAAAAGCUCCUUUCCUCCCUGGGGCUAACAGCUUUCAGUUCAUCCUUUUAUGCAGUAAUCAAGAAUAGACUGGGUGCUUCACAGCCAAUAAAUACCAGUGAGAAGAAUCCUGAAUGAAAGUACACUACCAUCUGCAGAACAUCAUAAUACUCAUCACUAGCAAUCCAGCUGCAUUCAGGCAUUGGAGGCAAUCAGAAGUCAUGUGGAUGAGGCUGGGUGUUGCCUACCCCUUCCAAAUCAGAAGGCCUGAUCCUAAAAAUGCAAAGAUAGAAAGCGGGCUAGUGAGUAGCACUGUAGCAUUUUGUUCCCUCCUUACACUGGCUGAAGAGGCAGCCUCAGAAGUUAGGAAAUCCCCAAACAAUGUAAUCAAUCCUUCCAUGCCUGUGGUGAGCAAUAAAAGUUUAUAUGAGACCUACAGCACUUCACACUGAAUGGCUGAAAAAUAGCACACAUUUAUCAGAAUGCCUGAAAACACACCCCAUUCUGGUAGAG